GAUGAAGAACGCAGCGAAAUGCGAUAAGUAAUGCGAAUUGCAGAAUUCAGUGAAUCAUCGAAUCUUUGAACGCACAUUGCGCCCUUUGGUAUUCCUUAGGGCAUGCCUGUUCGAGCGUCAUUUAAACCUUCAAGCUAAGCUUGGUGUUGGGUGACUGUCCGCUUCACGGCGGACUCGCCUCAAAAUUAUUGGCGGCCGGUACAUUGGCUUCGAGCGCAGCAGAAACGCGAACUCGGGCCCGUCGUAUUGGCUCCCAGAAGCUAUCUUCACAAUUUUGACCUCGGAUCAGGUAGGGAUACCCGCUGAACUUAAGCAUAUCAAUAAGCGGAGGA
rnacentral:misc_RNA from 1 species